AGGCAGUGCAGAGCUAUUCAGAAUUAUGGGCAAGUCUUGUUGGUUAUUAUGUUAUUGUUGUAUAAGCAUAUUUUGUAUGAAAUGAAAUGUUGUCGAUGAAUCGAAAUGGAUAUACUGUGUAAAAGUGUUAGAAGAUCUCUCUUAUUUGGAAUUUCGGAAUGUUAAGUCUAGUUUAUGAUGAUAUGAACUUGUGGUGAAUAGUUGG
rnacentral:lncRNA from 1 species